rnacentral:rRNA from 1 species
CCUACGGGAGACAGCAGUGGGGAAUAUUGGGCAAUGGGCGCAAGCCUGACCCAGCAACGCCGCGUGAAGGAAGAAGGCUUUCGGGUUGUAAACUUCUUUUGUCAGGGAAGAGUAGAAGACGGUACCUGCCGAAUAAGCCACGGCUAACUACGUGCCAGCAGCCGCGGUAAUACGUAGGUGGCAAGCGUUGUCCGGAUUUACUGGGUGUAAAGGGCGUGUAGCCGGGUUGACAAGUCAGAUGUGAAAUCCUGCGGCUUAACCGCAGAACUGCAUUUGAAACUGUUUAUCUUGAGUACUGGAGAGGCAGACGGAAUUCCUAGUGUAGCGGUGAAAUGCGUAGAUAUUAGGAGGAACACCAGUGGCGAAGGCGGUCUGCUGGACAGCAACUGACGGUGAGGCGCGAAAGCGUGGGGAGCAAACAGGAUUAGAUACCCCAGUAGUC